UAGGGAAUCUUCCACAAUGGACGCAAGUCUGAUGGAGCAACGCCGCGUGAGUGAAGAAGGUCUUCGGAUCGUAAAGCUCUGUUGUUGGUGAAGAAGGAUAGAGGCAGUAACUGNCUUUAUUUGACGGUAAUCAACCAGAAAGUCACGGCUAACUACGUACCAGCAGCCGCGGUAAUACGUAGGUGGCAAGCGUUGUCCGGAUUUAUUGGGCGUAAAGCGAGCGCAGGCGGAAUGAUAAGUCUGAUGUGAAAGCCCACGGCUCAACCGUGGAACUGCAUCGGAAACUGUCAUUCUUGAGUGCAGAAGAGGAGAGUGGAACUCCAUGUGUAGCGGUGGAAUGCGUAGAUAUAUGGAAGAACACCAGUGGCGAAGGCGGCUCUCUGGUCUGCAACUGACGCUGAGGCUCGAAAGCAUGGGUAGCGAACAGGAUUAGAUACCCUGGUAGUCCAUGCCGUAAACGAUGAGCGCUAGGUGUUGGGGACUUUCCGGUCCUCAGUGCCGC
rnacentral:rRNA from 1 species